ACUGCGGCAUCUGGUCCACCGGUGUCUUCCUAGUCAGAGGGAAGCUGUACGGGUUGGAGGAGGCGGCUCGGCUCGCACAGGAAACAGUGUGUUCAGCAUGCCAACAAACAGGUGCAAUAAUGGGCUGCUUCCAGAAGGGCUGUCCCAGAAACUACCACUACAGAUGUGCCAUCCAGUCAGGCUGCGUCCUCAAUGAAGAGAACUUCUCAAUGAGAUGUACAGAGCACAAGAACAAACCAUUCACAAGUGUAACCAGACAACACAAGAGAUGAUGCAGAGGACGUGGGGGCACUGGAGAACGAUCCACAGAUCUCCUCAGGGUGCGACGUGAGCUGCCUGACUUCACCUCUGCUGUUUUAUAACACUAAUUAAUGUGUGUGCUCGAGCAGAAGGACAAACCUUCUGGUAAGAUUUCACUUGUCAUGACAGACAGAUCAA